ACACUACCCACACCUAUUAUAGCUGGCAUUACAUGUGGCACCUUUGCUGUUUGUGUCCUCUUGGUUAUUUUUCUUCUUCAUCAUCAAAAAAGAACAAAAGGGACAGCUGCCACUCAAAAUAGAUUAGUUACCUCAAAUGUUGACAAAGAACAAGAAAGACAUUUUACCUCAAAUGUUGGUGAAGAACAAGAACAGGAUCAGAAUGAUGACAGCAUAACAUAUACAACAGUACAGCCCCAUCAAGUUGCUUCUCGGCUUAAGAAUGUUGCUCAGAAAGAUUCAACAGAGUAUGCAGCUGUCUGUUUCAAGAGUGUGCCAGAUGACGAUAUCACCUAUGUUACUGUGAGCACUGCCAAGUGACGUACAAAUGCUAAAAUACCAAUGUAUUAUAUAGAGGACCAUGGUACAGAAUACACUGCUAUUACAAGGCAAAAUGAAAAGCUUAAGAAGCAAAGGCAUUACUCAAUGUUUUCUGCAGUCUGCUCUUACCCUGGCUAUUAAAUAAGCAUAUAUCAAGUGUGUAAAACAUGACAAUAAUCUUUGAAUCAAUCUCCUUGCUGAGCAUCCCUGUCUACAAUGUGCUGCUCACUUUGCCACAAGCCAUAAACCAAUGGUCCACUGCC